GUCAGCCUGCCAGAUGCUGCUGAUGAGGCAGGCGAGGGGAGGCCUGGGGCAGUUGGACCCAGCAGCAUGGAGCUCACAAUGACUUUAAUCCCUGCUCUAGCAGGUGGAACCAGGAGGCAAGAACCUAAAAGGAGAUUAUGCAAGAGAGAACAGGAGAAAAAGGAGAAAAGUCAAAACAAACAUGGAUGACUCUCGAGGGAAAAGUCAUCAAGAACCUAAAAGGAGAUUAUGCAAGAGAGAACAGGAGAAAAAGGAGAAAAGUCAAAACAAACAUGGAUGACUCUCGAGGGAAAAGUCAUCAAGGUGAAAGCAGGUUAUAUGACCUAGCAAUCUGUCUCUUAGAACACACGUCCAGCGAAUCAGAAAACAGAUGACGACGCAAAUACUUUUCUGUACUAUUCACAAUAGCCAAUAGGUGGAAAGAACCCAAAUAUCUAUCAAUGGGCGAGAAGACAAACAGUGGUACAUCUACACGAUGGAAUGUUAUUCAGCCCCAAAGAGGAAAUGGUACCGAUACAGGCUACAGCAUUGUUGAACUUCACAAGCAAUAUGUAGAGGAAAAGAUGGCAGACACAGAAGACCACACGCUGUAUGAUCCCAUUUGUAGGAAAUGUCUGGAAUCAGUGAAUCCAUAGAGAUAGACAGCAGGUUCGUGG
rnacentral:lncRNA from 1 species